GUAGUGUUGGUGCUUCUUUUCAGUGCCAGUCCAUCCAUCACGACCACAUUUGUCAUGAUGACAGUGACAAGAUAUCUCCCGGGGCCAAUUCAGCACCUCUACCUGGCCAUCCUAACAAGGUGAUUUGUGAAAGGGUGAGACUUCAGAGCCUGUUCCCUCUCCUCCCAAGUGAUCAGAACACUACCGUUCAAGAGGAUGCUCACUUCAAAGCUUUCUUCCAGAGUGAAGAUAGUCCAAGUCCCAAGAGACAGCGCCUCUCUCAUUCAGUCUUUGAUUAUACAUCAGCAUCACCAGCUCCCUCACCACCAAUGCGACCAUGGGAGAUGACAUCAAAUAGGCAGCCCCCUUCAGUUCGACCAAGCCAACAUCACUUCUCAGGGGAACGAUGCAACACACCUGCACGCAACAGAAGAAGUCCUCCUGUCCGGCGCCAGAGAGGAAGAAGGGAUCGUCUGUCUCGACAUAAUUCCAUUAGUCAAGAUGAAAAUUAUCACCAUCUCCCUUAUGCACAGCAGCAAGCAAUAGAGGAACCUCGAGCCUUCCACCCUCCGAAUGUAUCUCCCCGUCUGUUACACCCUGCUGCUCAUCCACCCCAACAGAAUGCAGUAAUGGUUGACAUACAUGAUCAGCUCCAUCAGGGCACUGUCCCUGUUUCUUACACAGUAACAACAGUGGCACCACAUGGGAUUCCCCUCUGCACAGGCCAGCACAUCCCUGCAUGCAGUACACAACAGGUCCCAGGAUGCUCUGUGGUUUUCAGUGGACAGCACCUCCCUGUCUGUAGUGUGCCUCCUCCAAUGCUUCAAGCAUGUUCAGUUCAGCACUUACCAGUACCAUAUGCUGCGUUUCCACCCCUUAUUUCUAGCGAUCCAUUUCUCUUACAUCCUCCUCACCUUUCUCCCCAUCAUCCUCCUCAUUUGCCACCUCCAGGCCAGUUUGUCCCUUUCCAAACACAGCAGUCACGAUCGCCUCUGCAAAGGAUAGAAAACGAAGUGGAACUGUUAGGAGAACAUCUUCCUGUAGGAGGUUUUACUUACCCUCCAUCAGCGCAUCCCCCAACAUUACCUCCAUCAGCUCCUUUGCAGUUCUUAACACAUGAUCCUUUGCAUCAGGAGGUUUCCUUUGGAGUAUCUUAUCCUCCAUUUAUGCCUCGGAGGCUCACAGGACGCAGUAGAUACCGAUCCCAGCAGCCAAUACCACCUCCCCCUUAUCAUCCCAGCUUACUACCAUAUGUGUUAUCAAUGCUUCCAGUGCCACCUGCAGUGGGCCCAACUUUCAGUUUUGAAUUGGAUGUGGAAGAUGGAGAAGUAGAAAAUUACGAGGCCCUGUUAAACCUAGCAGAGCGACUGGGAGAGGCCAAGCCUCGAGGACUGACUAAAGCAGAUAUUGAACAACUUCCUUCUUACCGGUUCAAUCCUAACAACCACCAGUCAGAACAGACUUUGUAUGUAGCCAACAGAAAUGCAUGCACAAAAAGGUGGCGCAGAGGUAAAGAAUCUGCCUGCCAAUGCAGGGGACAUGGGUUCGAGCCCUGCCCUGGGAAGAUUCCACAUGCCACAGAGCAACUGAGCCCAUGCACCACAACUAUUGAGCCUGUGCUCUAGAGCCCGUGAAUAAACAGGAAAUGUUUGAUUAAGUAUGGUAGCACCCAUCUGCAGAUCAAGUCACAUACCUCCUGCUUUUGGACAUCAUCUCUUAGGAAGUGCAGGACAGCUCCUGGAGAUCCUUCAAGUAUAAGAUCUGCUGCUUUAGGCCACAAGAGUCUCUUCAGGCCUCAUUUCCUCCUCUGGCUCUCGGGUCCUGACUGCAGGCCUCACACCACCCUACCAUCCAUCUCUUCUAUUCCUUCCCUCUGUGUCUGCAUGCUUUAUUUUAUACUCUCAUCAAUGUGUGCCCCAUCCAACACACACACAGCCCAGACCAGCGUGUUAGGGAUUCUGCAACUUAUUUACAAAUAUCUGUUGGUAAAAACCAGAGCCUGAGGCUUCCUGCCCAGUUUUGCCUGAGGCUACCUCAUCCCCUCCACCUGUGGAAGCUGCCGUUGUAAUCGGGUAGGUGGGAGCCACCUGUUUCUACUCCCUCAUGAUGUGCCGGUGCGUGUGCCCAAGGAGUUUGAAGACGCUUGGACUUCCUGUUCCAGCAGCAGCUUUCUGGGCUAGCACCCUUCGUUCCUCCCCAGGGCGCCUGUUUCCUGGACCGUGGAGA